AUUGAACGCUGGCGGCAUGCUUUACACAUGCAAGUCGAACGGCAGCGCGGGCUUCGGCCUGGCGGCGAGUGGCGAACGGGUGAGUAAUGCAUCGGAACGUGCCCAGUAGUGGGGGAUAGCCCGGCGAAAGCCGGAUUAAUACCGCAUACGACCUGAGGGUGAAAGCGGGGGACCGAAAGGCCUCGCGCUAUUGGAGCGGCCGAUGUCGGAUUAGCUAGUUGGUGGGGUAAAGGCUUACCAAGGCGACGAUCCGUAGCUGGUCUGAGAGGACGACCAGCCACACGGGGACUGAGACACGGACCAGACGCCUACGGGAGGCAGCAGUGGGGAAUGUGGGACAAUGGGGGCAACCCUGAUCCAGCCAGGCCGCGUGCGGGAAGAAGGCCUUCGGGUUGUAAACCGCUUUUGUUCGGGAAGAAAUCCUCUGGGCUAAUACCCCGGGGGGAUGACGGUACCGGAAGAAUAAGCACCGGCUAACUACGUG
rnacentral:rRNA from 1 species